GCUUAGGAAUCUGUCUAUUACUGGGGGACCACAUCUCUAAAGGGAUGCUUAUACCGCAUACGUCCUACGGGAGAAAGCAGGGGAUCUUCGGACCUUGCGCUAAUAGAUGAGCCUAAGUCGGAUUAGCUAGUUGGUGGGGUAAAGGCCUACCAAGGCGACGAUCUGUAGCGGGUCUGAGAGGAUGAUCCGCCACACUGGGACUGAGACACGGCCCAGACUCCUACGGGAGGCAGCAGUGGGGAAUAUUGGACAAUGGGGGGAACCCUGAUCCAGCCAUGCCGCGUGUGUGAAGAAGGCCUUAUGGUUGUAAAGCACUUUAAGCGAGGAGGAGGCUACUUUAGUUAAUACCUAGAGAUAGUGGACGUUACUCGCAGAAUAAGCACCGGCUAACUCUGUGCCAGCAGCCGCGGUAAUACAGAGGGUGCGAGCGUUAAUCGGAUUUACUGGGCGUAAAGCGUGCGUAGGCGGCUUAUUAGUCGGAUGUGAAAUCCCCGAGCUUAACUUGGGAAUUGCAUUCGAUACUGGUGAGCUAGAGUAUGGGAGAGGAUGGUAGAAUUCCAGGGUAGCGGUGAAAUGCGUAGAGAUCUGGAGGAAUACCGAUGGCAAAGCAGCCAUCUGGCCUAAUACUGACGCUGAGGUACGAAGCAUGGGGAGCAACAGGAUUAAAUACCCUGAAGUCAUGCCGUAACGAUGUCCACUAGCCGUUGGGGCCUUUGAGG
rnacentral:rRNA from 1 species